rnacentral:lncRNA from 1 species
CCCAUCCACAUUUAGCUUAAUCCAUCCCACUGGUGGUUUACACCAAUGUACAGGCUGGCAGAACUCCCUCUGGUUGGUAGGUUGAUCUACAGAUCGUGAGUUUUGAUAGGAGAUGACCAUUUUACCUUUGCCCUGUCAGACCCAAGUAGUCUGAUGAACAGGAUUCAGUGAAUACUAUCUGAACUUAGCAAUUUGCAUUCACUUUCAGAGGAAGGGUUGGAGAGUUCAAGCUCAUUACAGGGGAACCUAGCCAGCCAGGAACACUGGCGGCGCAAAGGGGGAAACCCUAGAAAACUCAGAGAUGGUUCUCGCGUCUCCAGAACGCUGGCUUUAUAGCCUUACAAACCCAGAAAAGAAAGGAAAAAUGGAUACAGAGCAGUUGAGGCUGCGAGCCUUUUGCCGGAAAGUGAAUAGCGACGCGUCCGAGUCGGGGAGCCGUCCGAUGCGCGAUCCACGGUGUCAGCUACAUCAUAACUCGUGAAACGGUACGCGUGAAGGGGGAACGUUGGAUCCGUGAUGGACGGCUCAGCUGUCUUCGCGCGCUUGUGGAGGCCAUUCAAAUUAGCUGAACUUCGCCUUCAGGUGUAGCUACGUUGCAGAUGGGUCCUGACAACUCCCCCCCAAUGAGACCAAACAUGUCCUCAGGGUUGGAAGUGAGGAAAAACUCGCUGGAUAAACGUGGCAUCCUCCCAAGUUGCUUCUUCCACUGGAAGGUUGCUCCACUUGAUUUUCCACCUGACCACAGGGAUAUCGAUAUCGCCUUGUUUACGAGGGACCAGUUGGCGCUCCAACAGUAGUUCUGGUUCGAGCAGGAUUGUGCCAUCCGGGUUAAGCAAGGGGAGUUUUGCGUUAGGUAUUGCUGCUGGGCCAAUGUGUUUCUUCAGUUGGCUGAUGUGGAAUGUAUUGUGCAGUUUGCAGUCGUUUGGCAGGAGAAGUUUAUAGGAAACAUUACCAACUUUAUGUAGAACUUUAAACGGUCCGUAGUACUUGGAGUGCAGCUUGAAACACUUGUGAAUGCUCAGUGUAGUGUGUCUGUAGGGCUGGAGCUUCAAGUAGACCAUAUCACCCACUUGUAAUGUUCUCUCGGAUCUCUUCUUAUCUGCAAAGUGCUUCAUUCUGUUCAGAGCUCUGAGAAGAUUUUCUUUGAUGUGAGUAGCAGUUUGCUCAGCAGUGAGGACUGAUGGAAGGUUGCUAGUGUCCUCAAGUGGGUAAAGAGCUGCUUCAGCUAUCAUAUUGGGUUUUCUGUUGUAUAGUGCCUGAAAAGGGGUGAUCUUGAGUGAGGUGUGAUAGGAUGUAUUGUACCACCACUCAGUUAAGGGCAGCCAUUGAAACCAUUUCUUUGGUUGCAGAAAGGCCAUACAUCUCAGGUAGUUCUCUAGACACUGAUUCACCCUUUCAGUUUGCCCAUCAGUCUAAGGAUGGUAAGAUGUGCUCAUGUGUAACUUAAUGCCCAUUCGUUUGAACAAACUCUGCCAUAGCUGACUUGUGAAGAUUUUGUCCCUGUCAGUGACAAUAACAGAAGGUAGGCCAUGUAAUUUAAAUAUGUUUUCCACAAAACCAUUGGCUACAGUCUGCACUGUGAUGGGGUGUUUCAUGGCAAUAAAGUGAUUGUACUUGGUGAAUCUGUCAACGACCACCAGGAUCAUAUCCUUGUUUUGAGAGACUGGCAUUCCCUCCACAAAGUCCAUACUCAUGUGGCACCAAGCAAAAUCAGGCACAUGUAAGGGUUGCAGGAGACCAGGGUACUUGCAGUGUUCUGGUUUGUUGAUCUGGCAAGUUGGACACUGCUUGAUGAAGUCAACAAUGAAUUGUUUCAUGCCAGGCCAGUGGAACAAGAGCUUGACCCUUUGAUAUGUUGCUCUGUGGCCAGAGUGACCACCCAGCUCUGAAUUGUGCAGGGCAGACACCAGUUUGGUCCUCAGUUGAGUGUCGCUGCCCACAACAAAUCUAUUUUUAUAUCUGAUAAUGCCCUGCUUUAGGGUGUAAUUAUCCAAGGCCGAGGGAUUGGUGACCAAUUGGGCCAUGAUGGUCUUGCAUUUACUGUCAGUGUUGUAACUGGCAACUACUUCAGAAAUCCAAGCAGGCACAGCUGAGCUUGCAAUGAGGUUGUGCAGUUUGUACUGCACUCUAGAGAGAGCAUCAACUACUCUGUUUUUGUGCCCUUGUUUGUAUUCCACUCUAUAAUUGUAGCCCAAUAACUUCACUAGUAAUUUAUGUUGAAUUCCUUCAGUCAACUUUUGUUCCUGAAUAUAUUUGAGGCUUUGCUGAUCAGUUCUGAUAAUGAGAGAAAAUGCUGCAAAGUAGUGCUUCCAAUAUUUUAGAGCUUCAAUGAUAGCCAAGGCCUCUUUAUCAUAAGUUGAGCUAGCAGCAGCUCUAGGGCCAAUAGUUUUGCUGAAGAAGGAAAUUGGCCUGCCUCCCUGCAUGAGGACUGCUCCAAUGCCAUAGUUGCAGGCAUCAGUUUCUAGAACAAAUGGUUUGGAAAAAUCAGGAAGGGCCAAGACAGGGGCUUCUGUCAUUCUGUGCUUCAAAGUGUUGAAAGCCUGUUGUUGUUCAGUGCCCCAUGUGAAACUGUCCUUUUUGAGUGAGUUGAACAAAGGUUUGCAUAUAAAUCCAUAAUUUUGGAUGAACCUUCUGUAAUAACCAGUUAAUCCUAGGAAGCUUCUCAGCUGAGUGACAUUCUCAGGUGUUGGCCACUUAAGUACUGCCUCAAUCUUUACAGGAUCUGUAGCAACUCCAUCUCCUUUGAUGAUGUGACCAAGGUAUUCCACUUGUGGCUGAGCAAAAGUGCAUUUGCUGAGCUUUGCAUACAGCUGGUGUUGUUGAAGUGUCUCAAAAACUUCCUUUAAAUGUUCUAUGUGUUCCUGCAGAUUUUUACUAAAAACCAGGAUGUCAUCAAAGAAGAUCAAGACAAAUUUUAUCAGAUACUUCUUGAAAAUUGUAUUCAUCAACUUCUGGAAUGUAGCAGGGGCAUUAGUAAGCCCAAAAGACAUAACUAAGUACUCAUAGUGCCCACAAUGAGUGCUGAAAGCUGUCUUUUCUAUAUCAUGUUGCACCAUCCUGAUCUGAUGGUACCCACUUCUUAAGUCCAGUUUAGUGAAAAUAGUGGCUCCAUGUAAUUCAUCCAGUAGAUCUUCAAUUACUGGCACUGGAUAUUUGUUCUUGACUGUUUGUUCAUUGAGUUUUCUGAAAUCAUUGACAAGUCUCCAUGUAUGAUCCUUAUUUUUCACUAGGAGAGCUGGAGAGGAAUAAGGACUAACAUUGUCCUUAAUGACCUUGUCCUUAAUCAUCUACUGUAUGAUUUGUUCCAUUGCAUCUUUUUGGUGGUGGGGUAACCUGUAUGGCCUCUGGUUUACUACUUUAUCUUCAGGCACAAGAGGGAUUGUAUGAUCUAUUGCUCUGACAGGAGGAAGGCCAAUGGGUUUUGAGAAGAUGUUGUUAUACUUACUUAAGAGCAGUUUCACUUGAGGAUGCACUGGUUGUGGAGGAGUAGGAGAAGUAGGAGGAGUAGGAGUAGUAGGGGGAGUAGAAGGAGGAGGGGCCACAGUAACAAAGUUCAGAAGGAGGACAGCUCCACAUACUGGAUCCUGUUCCAGUUCUUCCUCACUGUCCAUCUCAGGUACAACCAUGUUGGGCAAGCUCUCAUCCUGGAAAAUGACCUUUUUGCCUCCUUGCAUGGUUAUUUUUACCUGCAUUUCCUCAAAGUCCAGUUCCACAGGGUUAUGUGCUUUCAUCCAAUCAGCUCCUAGUAUUACAUCAUAGCUUUGGAGCUGCAAGACUCUGAAAUCAGAAGUGAACUGUGUCCCUUGGAUAGUGUAAUUGCACUGUUUUGCCAUGAAUUCAGUCCAGAGCACUCCACCAUUUGCCACUACAACCUUUCCUUUUCUUGUAGGGGAAAGUUUGAACUGAAUUUUGUUUGCAAUACUUGGGGAAACAAAAGUAGCUGUACUACCACUGUCAAUAAGUGAUGUUGCUGGAGUAUCACCAAACAUGAGAGUAACAGUAAAUGAGUAUUUGGUGGCACUCAGGCCCAUCAGAGCAUGCAUUGAAAUUUUCAGUGUCUGACCAGUACCGUUGUCUGUUUCUUCAGUGUCAGUUUCCUCCAUUUCUUCAGAACUGGCAGUGUAGUAAACCAGCUCUGCAUCAUCAGGGCAUUGCUCUUGUAGAGCUUGAAUUUGAGCUUGGUUUGCCAACUUGCAAACCUUCUUGUGCCCUGGGAACCAAGGUUCCUUGCACUUGUAGCAGAUGCCCUUUAAUCUUGCUUGUUGGAUUAUAUUAGCAGUAUUGUUAGGAGCUGGUUUGCCAGGGUCAAACUGGACCUGUCUUCUAACAGGAGACUGCACUGUUUGGGGCCAUUGCUUCUUAGGUGGCUGUGCUUGUUCCAUUCUUCGAGCUAACCAGAUAGCCUUCUGUAGAUCUUGAGGUUCAUGCCAUUGGACAUAAUGCUGAAUGUUGUCAUGUAAGCCAGAAAUAAAACUGGUUUUGUAGUAAUCUUGUGGGAGAGCAGGAUUAUCUCUUUGCAUUAAAUUCAUAGCUUGUUCAAACUUGAGUAUAUAUUCAUUUACUGACCCUGUUUGAGUGAGUGCAUGGAAUGAUCUCACAUUAUCACAGACAGAAGUCUCAGCAAAUCUGUCACCCAGGAGUCUACAAAACCUAUACCAGGGCAAGGUGUUAGCCACUAUUGCAGUACCUCUCCACCAUUCAAUUGCAGGUCCUUUCAAGUAUGUGACUGCAAUUUCUGUUUUCUGCUCCAGGGGUGUUCUAGCAGCCUCAAAAUAAAGUUCAAUAGUCUGAAUCCAAGAGUCAGUGCCACUUCCAUCAAAUUCAGGAAUGUUGUACUUGGCUGGCUUGACACGUGCCAUAGUUCUUCUGUUAUCCUGUAACUGCUCUCUUUGCACAUUUCCUCCCCUGGCUUCCUGUUGAGGAAGUUGUUCAGCUAGCUCCAAGUCCAGCUGUAUUGGCUGUUGAGCAGUUGGGCCCUGGUUUACUGCAGUAGGUGCUCUUGCAUCAUGAGCAGGAUUUUUGGGAGUAGCAAAAUGUGGAUGUCUGUAAGGGAUUUUGUUGCUGCCAUCCAAGUUGAGCUCUUUUCAUGUGUGCUUGUCUACUAAAGUUGUAGAUCCCAUAGUUGGAGGGGUUUGUAUGACCAUAGGAGGUGCAUUGUUAGGGCCCUGAGGUGUUUGCUGCUGGCCAUUGCCUUGUGCAACAUCUUGGGGGCUUGGAGGACUUUCCCUAGGUUUUGGGAACCUGGCAAUAAAAUUGGAUAGCGAGCCCUGUAAUUCUCCCAAUGUUUUCUCCAGGGACUAAAAGUUAGUGGCAACAUGCUCUCUGAAGUCUUCAAAGUCACGUCUGUCUGUUUCUCUGUUCUGCUGCAAUUGUUUGACAUCCAAUUGUAAAGAUUGCAGCUCCAGAUUUUCCGUGGAAGAAGAACUCGUCGGACCCGUCAUACUGGAGGGGAAGGGAUACAGGGAGGGUUUUUAUACUUAGUAGGGAGAGAAGAACCUCUCUCUGAGUUGAUCAGCCAGCGAGGAAUGAAUUUUACCACAACCUGAGCUGCAACCCGGCCUUGUCCUUCGAUCCUGCCGCCGCCUGCACCGCCGCCAACACCGCGCCACCGGAAGUACACCGGAUCUGGAAGGGAGGGAUGGAUUUUACUACAGAGACGGUGUGUUUCUGCAACCUCUUCCCGCACCCAAACCUGUACCGAUUUUCGCACCGCCGCCAGUCGCCGUCGGAGAACCACCGCCGCCUAACGACCCCGGUGAGAAGUGGAGGAUUUUACGGCUCCUCCAACUCUACUUCGACACCAGAUCUCGCGCCGCCAAGGAAGAAAACCUUGCUCUGAUUACCACUUGUCAGACCCAAGUAGUCUGAAGAACAGGAUUCAGAGAAUACUAUCUGAACUUAGCAAUUUGCAUUCACUUUCAGAGGAAGGAUUGGAGAGUUCAAGCUCAUUACAGGGGAACCUAGCCAGCCAGGAACACUGGCGGCGCAAAGGGGGAAACCCUAGAAAACUCAGAGAUGGUUCUCGCGUCUCCAGAACGCUGGCUUUAUAGCCUUACAAACCCAGAAAAGAAAGGAAAAAUGGAUACAGAGCAGUUGAGGCUGCGAGCCUUUUGACGGAAAGUGAACAGCGACGCGUCCGAGUCGGGGAGCCGUCCGAUGCGCGAUCCACGGUGUCAGCUACAUCAUAACUCGCGAAACAGUACACGUGAAGGGGGAACGUUGGAUCCGUGAUGGACGGCUCAGCUGUCU